CRWWGGCYWKUCAGAGAUGSKMWUGGUGCCUUCGGGAACUCUGASACAGGUGCUGCAUGGCUGUCGUCAGCUCSUGUUGUGAAAUGUUGGGUUAAGUCCCGCAACGAGCGCAACCCUURUCCUUUGUUGCCAGCGGUUAGGSCGGGAACUCAAAGGARACUGCCAGUGAUAAACUGGAGGAAGGKGGGGAUGACGUCAAGUCAUCAUGGCCCUUACGAGUAGGGCUACMCACGUGCUACAAUGGCGCAUACAAAGAGAAGCGACCUCGCGAGAGCAAGCGGACCUCAUAAAGUGCGUCGUARUCCGGAUUGGAGUCUGCAACUCGACUCCMUGAAGUCGGAAUCGCUAGUAAUCGUAGAUCARAAUGCUACGGUGAAUACGUUCCCGGGUCUUGUACACACCGAA
rnacentral:rRNA from 1 species